CCUACGAAAAAGCUGCGCUGAACGCACAUCUUCGACAACAAGCUCCAGAUGACGUGGCGAUGACGGUUGAUUGAAGUGUCACUUGCGAUACUUCGUCAACAGGUGCUGUGUCUAAUGCUCAAUGUAUCAGAUGAAAGAUCAGUUCACAAUAUAGCAACGUAAAUCUAUUAGUUAUUAUUAAAUUAAGAAGCGUGUACUAAGUUUAUACCGAUUACAAAACGGAUUAACAUUGUCGGUGCAUACCGCAGUGGUUAGCCUGUGUGCAGAAGUCGAACGCUAAUAACAAUAACUCAUAUCGAAUUGUACCAGUCAAGACAUCAGUUAUUAGAAAUAUAUCCCAUUAUAUUACGGAUGAUCAGAUUAGCCAACACGAAAAAGUAGGAAGCUUACAAACGUAAGUACACACAGUCAAACUGUAUAUUAGAAAUAAUAAUCGAUCAUGUUCUACAGGAAAUUUUUAAUCGAUCCGUCAAAUAAAUUGAUUAAAACUACGGAAAAACGCUUUCUUAGUUGCAUUCG